rnacentral:rRNA from 1 species
UACGGGGGGGGCAAGCGUUGUUCGGAAUUAUUGGGCGUAAAGGGCUCGUAGGCGGCCAACUAAGUCAUACGUGAAAUCCCUCAGCUUAACUGGGGAACUGCGUGUGAUACUGGAUAGCUUGGAUUUGGGAGAGGGAUGCGGAAUUCCAGGUGUAGCGGUGAAAUGCGUAGAUAUCUGGAGGAACACCGGUGGCGAAGGCGGCAUCCUGGACCUAUAUUGACGCUGAGGAGCGAAAGCCAGGGGAGCAAACGGG